GAUGAACGCUGGCGGCGUGCCUAAUACAUGCAAGUCGAGCGAACAGAUGAGGAGCUUGCUCCUCUGACGUUAGCGGCGGACGGGUGAGUAACACGUGGAUAACCUACCUAUAAGACGUGGAUAACUUCGGGAAACCGGAGCUAAUACUGCAUAAUAUAAUCAACGGCAUAGUUCAAUAGUGAAACACAGUUUGGCUGUCACUUAGAGAUGGAUCCGCGCCGCAUUAGCUAGUUGGUAAGGUAACGGCUUACCAAGGCAACGAUGCGUAGCCGACCUGAGAGGAUGAUCGGCCACACUGGAACUGAGACACGGUCCAGACUCCUACGGGAGGCAGCAGUAGGGAAUCUUCCGCAAUGGGCGCAAGCCUGACGGAGCAACGCCGCGUGAGUGAUGAAGGUCUUCGGAUCGUAAAACUCUGUUAUUAGGGAAGAACAAAUGUGUAAGUAACUAUGCACGUCUUGACGGUACCUAAUCAGAAAGCAACGGCUAACUACGUG
rnacentral:rRNA from 1 species